rnacentral:tRNA from 1 species
GGGCCCAUAGCUCAGCCUGGUCAGAGCGCCAGUCUUAUAAGCUGGACGUCCAGGGUUCAAAGACAUCCCUUUUCUUUGGGAAAGAAAAGGUCUGUCAACCCCAAAAGAAAAUGGGUUGAAAGAACUCUCAAAGACCAAUAGAAAAGAUGUUGGCAAUCCCUGUGGGCCCA